UACAGGAGAGCCAGAAACCCGAAGGAACUUCUAUUUACUCGUUGACAUACAAGGCAUGUACAGCUACUGGAAGAUGGGAGCAAGGAAUGACAGGGGCUGUGGCUGAGACAAAUGAGGUAGAAACCAACAAAGAGGAAGAUAUGGAAUAUAAAAAAGGUGAAACUAACCCAAGAGUCUAAUGAAAAACAAUUCCAGAGUGAAGCUGUGCACAGGGUUUACAAUCUAAAUCAGAAGAGGAAGUCAGUGGGCCGCGACUAGAAUGUCUUCAAGAAGAAAAAAGAAAUGUAGUCUGUGCAGAAGAUAUAAUGACUAUAGAAAUGGAUGGUAUCAGCUAUAUGGCAGUGAAUAGAUAAUGUCUUUUAAAUUGAAAAGUCAAGAAAUGGCACCAACAGCACAUAAUUGAAAGUUGAAAAAGAAAAGAAAGUUGAGAGCAAGUCUGAAGGGGUUAAUAAAGACAGCUAUCAGCAAGACUUCAAGCAGAAGAAAAAUUCUGGCUCUCAACACUGACUGCACGACCAAAGGGUGGAGAAGAACACAGUACCAGUUAAAACCAAAGAACAAAAGUUUCCUUUAUCUCCACAGCAUAUCUAUAGUAUGGGAAAGCCAUUACUUUAUUUACAAAGAUCAACUUAACUAAAGCAAAGUUAAGGUGACACACCAUUAAAGGCAUUUAAACUAAUAAGUGCUAAAAUUUUAUCUGUGCAUUUAUGUGUGUGUGCUUUUGAAAAAAAAAAAAAAAAGAUCUGAAUGCUAUAUUGAAGUCCCCACUGGAUAAGUUUAUUUUGUAGUUUAUUGAGUGUAUUAAACAAAGGACA